UCUGACACAGGUGCUGCAUGGCUGUCGUCAGCUCGUGUCGUGAGAUGUUGGGUUAAGUCCCGUAACGAGCGCAACCUUGUCCUUAGUUACCAGCACGUUAUGGUGGGCACUCUAAGGAGACUGCGGUGACAAACCGGAGGAAGGUGGGGAGUGAGUCAAGUCAUCAUGGCCCUUACGGCCUGGGCUACACACGUGCUACAAUGGUCGGUACAAAGGGUUGCCAAGCCGCGAGGUGGAGCUAAUCCCAUAAAACCGAUCGUAGUCCGGAUCGCAGUCUGCAACUGACUGCGUGAAGUCGGAAUGCUAGUAAUCGUGAAUCAGAAUGUCACGGUGAAUACGUUCCCGGGCCUU
rnacentral:rRNA from 1 species